UACGUAGGGUGCAAGCGUUAAUCGGAGUUACUGGGCGUAAAGCGUGCGCAGGCGGUUUUGUAAGUCUGUCGUGAAAUCCCCGGGCUCAACCUGGGAAUUGCGAUGGAGACUGCAAGGCUAGAAUCUGGCAGAGGGGGGUAGAAUUCCACGUGUAGCAGUGAAAUGCGUAGAGAUGUGGAGGAACACCGAUGGCGAAGGCAGCCCCCUGGGUCAAGAUUGACGCUCAUGCACGAAAGCGUGGGGAGCAAACAGG
rnacentral:rRNA from 1 species